GUGCGUUAAACAAUUAGACAAUGUUUAUUUCAGUAGAUUCUGUGUUCGUUUCGUAUCAGGAGAUUUCCCACUGGAAUGACAGCUUCAUAGGAAAGCAGGACAUGAAGCACAAAGGAACUUCAGGGAAUCGCUGAAAGGAUAUCAGAUAACAAAAGAAGAUCUGCCUGAGGUUAAACCAGGAACAGUAAAGAGCAGCUAGAUAAAAAGAAGCGACCGGGGCGGAGGAGGCUGAACCUGCCUGUGGGGUGUUCUCUACAACAACAUCUCAGAUCAGUGUCUCCUUUUUGCUCUUCUGAUCUGCGCAGCUCCCAUCAAAGACACCGGAGCUGCCUGGCUGCGGCGGCGUGGAUGGGCCCAGCCCUGCCCGCCGUGCGCGCGCGCGCACACCCGCAGCCAUUUCUCUUGCCCUCCACAGGUAGUUGGGUUACUAACAGGCUGCUACAGGCCGGCAUCUGGGAUCCUGGCUUGUGUGCGUUUUUGUCCGUGUCAUUGUAUGCUUGCUGAAAGCUAAACAGACUUGCCAGAAAGGGCAGACAUGUUGCCGCACGCCGCCCAGAUCUGCUGUGCUCAUCUCAGAGCAGUACGCUGUAAGAUAAUCUUUAUAUAACACUUUCUGAAAGGGUAGACGGAUGUUACACGGGGGAAGAAUGCGCGGCGAUUUGUGGGAUGAAAUGCAGACAUGACAGAGACUAAAUAAAUGCAGAAUUUAUGAGAAAACCUACGGAAAUGUUAGUAGUUUUUUUGGUAAAAAAAAUAAAACAAGAUUUCCACUACUUUGGAUUUUGCAAUCCCCUUGCAACAAAGCUUUCUAGAAAUGAAAAGCACAAGUCCAUGGAGGUCAAAGGGCAAAAGGGUUACACACACACACAAAAAAACAAACUUGCCUCAUUCCAAAAGCAUUACCUGGAUGUAUUACACCUAAGUCUUCAGCUGUGAGGGUUAAACACAUUCUGUUAAAGUCAUCGGGGGAAAUUCCCAAAAACAAAGUCUAAAAUCAAGCAGUGCAAAGAUUUUUAUUUUUCUUAUUAUUUUCUUCUCUUUUUUUGUGUUUGAUUGAUAUGACAUGUGGACGGAUUAAGUUUUAAGUCUUAAAAUCCUGCCUUUAAAGAGGAGUCAAAUAAAUUGAGGGAGCCACAAAGUCGAUGAUUUACUUUGGGGAAAUUUGGACAUAGCAACAGCGAGUCUCCAGAUUGGACUCCUCUUAUCAGAGUAGUUAUUUCAGAUACGGCUCACAACUAUAACAAGGUGACUCAUUUGUGUCAGAGAGCGUAACUGCAGCAGUUAAACCAAACAACGUCUCCACUGAGUCAGCUCAGACACUGAAAAGUUUAUCAUCAACUCAUCAGCAUAUUUCUCCAACUCGUCCCCCCUGUACGAGGUUUUCUGACCGUUAGCUGCAUAAAGUCAAAGAGUAUCUUUCACUCUGGGAACAUCAGCUGACAAAUUGAUUCUGCUCGACCUCCAUGGCUCAGCAAGCAUCUGUAGACAGGCUCUUGUCGACCAUAUCGUAGAUUCGAGAUAAAACAGAUAAAUAGAUGUUUGAGCAUCUUUAUUGCCAUAACAAACAUAACAAUGUCAGAGAGUAUUUUAUAAAUAUGGUCAAUGUUCUGUCUAAAAAAACGCGAUGCACUGAUCUGAGAUUUCUUUGGGUCCGAUUUCCAGUCACCAACUUUGCAAAAACCUGCUGAUGUCGACAUUAAAAUACUUUAUUUUUGCUUUACUUAAAAUUUAAAUAAAGUAGGGGUUUUAUCUUCUCUAAAACACUGAAAAUCUACAACUACAAUCAUAUUCAAUUAUGAAUUAGUAAUAAAUUCCUGAAAUAAAUGGGAUUUUCAGUAUUAUUCUAACUGCAGGUUAUUGAACGUGGGUCCAAAUAAACCCAACUAAAAAAAGAAUAAAAAUUCUCCACAUGUCUUCUCUACUCCUUUUCAAGACUGAUUAUACCUUGCUGACUUUUUUAAAAUUUCUUUUUAAUUAUUGUUUUACUUGCUCAGGAUAUGGUGCUCUGCCAAACUGGUUCAAGUCUCAUUUGGCAGGAUGAGGCUACUUUAUUUGCUAAUUAUUAAUCUGAGCAAAUAAGGGAGGUUCCUCCAGGCUCCGUUAUACUGCACAUUGUUUUUCUGUGCCACCUCAUAGCCACUGCAGUUGCUGAGUCAGCGUGUCCAAAAUGUCAUCAUUUCCUCCAUCUUAGUGGAGGAAAUACAGAAGUUAUUGUCUUUGAUUCUGGAAAUGCAGGAUUAUGAAAUCAGCUCCCUCUGACAACGAGGCUAAAGCCAAUGCAAAAAAUAACAAAAAAAAAAAAACACCAAAACAAAACUGGGUGUGAUUAUUCAUCUCAUUGCCUACUACCAUCUCACACAUGUUUACUCCAGUUGCUAUACGAUGUCAAGAUUGCUUUACGACGUCACUUUUAUUGUGUUUUAUUUUAUUUCUCUUUGUUUUAAUUGCAUUUUAAAGUUUUUCUUUUCACGUCACGCCCACAUUUUCAACCCACUACUUGUUUUUUAAUGCAAUUUCAUGAUCUCUGUUCCUUUAUUUUCUUGUAAAGCGGUCUAAAUAACCUGGGAUGUAAAUAAACGUACAUUUCUGCG